rnacentral:tRNA from 1 species
GCUGUCUUAGCCAAGUGGUCGAAGGCAAUGGAUUGCAAAUCCAUCGUGGAAUAAUAUCCCAGUCCCGAGUUCGAAUCUCGGAGGCAGCUCCA